GAAAGUGCACAUAGUGAUAGAUA
rnacentral:miRNA from 1 species